AACGAACGCUGGCGGCAUGCCUAACACAUGCAAGUCGAACGAGACCUUCGGGUCUAGUGGCGCACGGGUGCGUAACGCGUGGGAACCUGCCCUUAUGUUCGGAAUAACUCCCCGAAAGGGGUGCUAAUACCGGAUAAUGUCUUCGGACCAAAGAUUUAUCGCCUUUGGAUGGGCCCGCGUUGGAUUAGCUAGUUGGUAGGGUAAAAGCCUACCAAGGCGACGAUCCAUAGCUGGUCUGAGAGGAUGAUCAGCCACACUGGGACUGAGACACGGCCCAGACUCCUACGGGAGGCAGCAGUGGAGAAUAUUGGACAAUGGGCGAAAGCCUGAUCCAGCAAUGCCGCGUGAGUGAUGAAGGCCUUAGGGUUGUAAAGCUCUUUUACCCGGGAUGAUAAUGACAGUACCGGGAGAAUAAGCUCCGGCUAACUCCGUG
rnacentral:rRNA from 1 species